GACGAACGCUGGCGGCGUGCUUAACACAUGCAAGUCGAACGAUGAUGCCCAGCUUGCUGGGUGGAUUAGUGGCGAACGGGUGAGUAACACGUGAGUAACCUGCCCCUGACUCUGGGAUAAGCGUUGGAAACGACGUCUAAUACUGGAUAUGAUCACUGGCCGCAUGGUCUGGUGGUGGAAAGAUUUUUUGGUUGGGGAUGGACUCGCGGCCUAUCAGCUUGUUGGUGAGGUAACGGCUCACCAAGGCGACGACGGGUAGCCGGCCUGAGAGGGUGACCGGCCACACUGGGACUGAGACACGGCCCAGACUCCUACGGGAGGCAGCAGUGGGGAAUAUUGCACAAUGGGCGAAAGCCUGAUGCAGCAACGCCGCGUGAGGGAUGACGGCCUUCGGGUUGUAAACCUCUUUUAGUAGGGAAGAAGCGAAAGUGACGGUACCUGCAGAAAAAGCACCGGCUAACUACGUGCCAGCAGCCGCGGUAAUACGUAGGGUGCAAGCGUUGUCCGGAAUUAUUGGGCGUAAAGAGCUCGUAGGCGGUUUGUCGCGUCUGCUGUGAAAUCCCGAGGCUCAACCUCGGGCUUGCAGUGGGUACGGGCAGACUAGAGUGCGGUAGGGGAGAUUGGAAUUCCUGGUGUAGCGGUGGAAUGCGCAGAUAUCAGGAGGAACACCGGUGGCGAAGGCAGAUCUCUGGGCCGUAACUGACGCUGAGGAGCGAAAGCAUGGGGAGCGAACAGGAUUAGAUACCCUGGUAGUCCAUGCCGUAAACGUUGGGCGCUAGAUGUAGGGACCUUUCCACGGUUUCUGUGUCGUAGCUAACGCAUUAAGCGCCCCGCCUGGGGAGUACGGCCGCAAGGCUAAAACUCAAAGGAAUUGACGGGGGCCCGCACAAGCGGCGGAGCAUGCGGAUUAAUUCGAUGCAACGCGAAGAACCUUACCAAGGCUUGACAUACACCGGAAACGGCCAGAGAUGGUCGCCCCCUUGUGGUCGGUGUACAGGUGGUGCAUGGUUGUCGUCAGCUCGUGUCGUGAGAUGUUGGGUUAAGUCCCGCAACGAGCGCAACCCUCGUUCUAUGUUGCCAGCGGGUUAUGCCGGGGACUCAUAGGAGACUGCCGGGGUCAACUCGGAGGAAGGUGGGGAUGACGUCAAAUCAUCAUGCCCCUUAUGUCUUGGGCUUCACGCAUGCUACAAUGGCCGGUACAAAGGGCUGCGAUACCGUAAGGUGGAGCGAAUCCCAAAAAGCCGGUCUCAGUUCGGAUUGAGGUCUGCAACUCGACCUCAUGAAGUCGGAGUCGCUAGUAAUCGCAGAUCAGCAACGCUGCGGUGAAUACGUUCCCGGGCCU
rnacentral:rRNA from 1 species